UCGCGAAACCUUUGCAAUACACGCAAGUGUGACAGGGCCAUCCCGAGUGCCGACCGCUGAGGUUGGCUUUUAAUCAGUCUAGAAAGCUGGGAGAAUAAGGAGAGGGCAAGUCUGGUGUCAGCCGCCGCGGUAAUACCAGCUCUCCGAGUGGUGUGGACGUUUAUUGGGCCUAAAGCAUCCGUAGCUGGCUGAACAAGUCCCCUGUUAAACCCAACGAUUUAAUCGUUGGCUUGCGGGGGAAACUGCUCGGCUAGGAGACGGGAGAGGCAGACGGUAUUCUCGGGGUAGGGGUGAAAUCCUAUAAUCCCGAGAAGACCACCAGUGGCGAAGGCUGUCUGCUAGAACGCGCUCGACGGUGAGGGAUGAAAGCUGGGGGAGCGAACCGGAUUAGAUACCCGGGUAGUCCCAGCUGUAAACGAUGCAGGCUAGGUGUUUGGACGGCCACGUGCCGUUCUAGUGCCGCAGGGAAGCUGUUAAGCCUGCCGCCUGGGGAGUACGAUCGCAAGAUUGAAACUUAAAGG
rnacentral:rRNA from 1 species